rnacentral:rRNA from 1 species
CCUACGGGAGGCAGCAGUGGGGAAUCUUGCGCAAUGGACGAAAGUCUGACGCAGCCAUGCCGCGUGAGUGAUGAAGGUCUUAGGAUUGUAAAGCUCUUUCGCUCGCGACGAUGAUGACGGUAGCGAGAGAAGAAGCCCCGGCUAACUUCGUGCCAGCAGCCGCGGUGAUACGAAGGGGGGCUAGCGUUGUUCGGAAUUACUGGGCGUAAAGCGUGCGCAGGCGGUUUUUUAAGCCAGAGGUGAAAUCCCGGAGCUCAACUUCGGAAUGGCCUUUGGAACUGGAAAGCUUGAGAACGGUAGAGGUGAGUGGAAUUCCCAGUGUAGAGGUGAAAUUCGUAGAUAUUGGGAAGAACACCGGUGGCGAAGGCGGCUCACUGGACCGUUUCUGACGCUCAGGCACGAAAGCGUGGGGAGCAAACAGGAUUAGAUACCCUGGUAGUCCACGCCUUAAACGAUGGAUGCUAGCCGUUGUGAGGCAUGCCUCUCAGUGGCGCAGCUAACGCGUGAAGCAUCCCGCCUGGGGAGUACGGCCGCAGGUUAAACUUAAAUGAAUUGACGG